GCUACGGGUGGCAGCAGUGGGGGAUAUUGCACAAUGGGGGAAACCCUGAUGCAGCGACGCCGCGUGAGUGAAGAAGUAUUUCGGUAUGUAAAGCUCUAUCAGCAGGGAAGAAAAUGACAGUACCUGACCAAGAAGCCCCGGCUAACUACGUGCCAGCAGCCGCGGUAAUACGUAGGGGGCAAGCGUUAUCCGGAUUUACUGGGUGUAAAGGGAGCGUAGACGGUUAUGUAAGUCUGGAGUGAAAGCCCGGGCCCAACCCCGGGACUGCUUUGGAAACUGUGUAACUGGAGUACAGGAGGGGCAGGCGGAAUUCCUGGUGUAGCGGUGAAAUGCGUAGAUAUCUGGAAGAACACCAGUGGCGAAAGCGGCUCUCUGGUCUGUAACUGACGCUGAGGUUCGAAAGCGUGGGUAGCAAACAGGAUUAGAUACUCGAGUAGUC
rnacentral:rRNA from 1 species